UUCUGUAGAUAUUGCUGCUGUUGGUCUGGAAUUCCUUUCUAACCCAUUUUCCAAGCUCUUGAACUCGUUUCUCCCCAAUUGGAGGCUGUAAUUGGAGACCAAAAUGGUCUUCUAACAUAGUGCUUGCAUUUUCUGUUUUCCCCAUAUGUAAGGGAAGAUAUGGAGAUGCCCAUACUGUGACAUACACAGAAUCUGCAGAUAAUUCUUCAAUGUCCAACCUUAUUAGCCCACCAAUAUGAACUGAAUGGCCUUCCUUGACUCUAUAUGUCCUUGGUUUCAAUUCCUUACUGAUGUGAACAAGCUUCUGCUCAUCUCUAGUUAGCCUUGUUGUAAUCUGAUGUGGAUUUAAAAGCCCCGGUGUGUCAAAUAACUUUGCCUGCCCAGGAAGAACACCCUCCACCUUGACAAUCCCUAAUGUUGUUCCAGGAACAGGGGCCUCCGUCAAAAGAGAUAACUUCCCUUCAUUUCCACCAGCCCACUUCCCCAUUGCAUUUAUCAAUGUACUUUUACCAGCGUUCUGCAUCCCUACAGCCCACACGUUCCCUCUAGGCCCUGCCAAUGUAAUCACAUCCUCAACCAAAUCCUUCAAUCCCCAGUCU
rnacentral:misc_RNA from 1 species